CCUACGGGUGGCAGCAGUGAGGAAUAUUGGUCAAUGGACGCAAGUCUGAACCAGCCAUGCCGCGUGCAGGAAGACGGCUCUAUGAGUUGUAAACUGCUUUUGUACGGGGGUAAACGCAGAUACGCGACUCUGUCUGCCAGUAUCGUAACAAUACGGAUCGGCUAACUCCGCGCACGCAGCCGCGGUAAUACGGAGGAUUCAAGCGUUAUCCGGAUUUAUUGGGUUUAAAGGGUGUGUAGGGGGUCGGAUAAGUUAGAUGUGAAAUCCCGAGGCGCAACGUCGGAAUUGCAUCUGAUACUGUUCGGCUAGAGUGUAGUAGCGGUAGGCGGAAUGUAUGGUGUAGCGGUGAAAUGCUUAGAGAUCAGACAGAACACCGAUUGCGAAGGCAGCUUACCAGGCUACUACUGACGUUGAGGCACGAAAGCGUGGGGAGCAAACAGGAUUAGAUACCCCUGUAGUC
rnacentral:rRNA from 1 species